AUUGAACGCUGGCGGCAGGCCUAACACAUGCAAGUCGAGCGGGGUUUUCGGACCUAGCGGCGGGCGGGUGAGUAAUGCGUAGGAAGCUACCCGAUAGAGGGGGAUACCAGUUGGAAACGACGGUUAAUACCGCAUAAUGUCUACGGACCAAAGUGUGGGACCUUCGGGCCCCAUGCCAUCGGAUGCCCCUACGUGGGAUUAGCUAGUUGGUGAGGUAAUGGCUCACCAAGGCGACGAUCCCUAGCUGGUUUGAGAGGAUGAUCAGCCACACUGGAACUGAGACACGGUCCAGACUCCUACGGGAGGCAGCAGUGGGGAAUAUUGGACAAUGGGCGCAAGCCUGAUCCAGCCAUGCCGCGUGUGUGAAGAAGGCCUUCGGGUUGUAAAGCACUUUCAGUAGGGAGGAAGCGUUGUGUGUUAAUAGUACACAGCGUUGACGUUACCUACAGAAGAAGCACCGGCUAACUCUGUGCCAGCAGCCGCAGUAACAC
rnacentral:rRNA from 1 species